rnacentral:rRNA from 1 species
UACAGAGGGUGCAAGCGUUGUUCGGAAUCAUUGGGCGUAAAGCGCGUGCAGGCGGCCAUCUAAGUCUGGUGUGAAAGCCCAGGGCUCAACCCUGGAAGUGCACUGGAUACUGGAAGGCUAGAGGACGAGAGAGGAGAUUGGAAUUAAUGGUGUAGGGGUGAAAUCCGUAGAUAUCAUUAGGAACAUCAGUGGCGAAGGCGAAUCUCUGGCUCGUAUCUGACGCUGAGACGCGAAAGCGUGGGGAGCAAACAGG